ACGUAGGGGGCGAGCGUUGUCCGGAAUUACUGGGCGUAAAGGGUGCGUAGGUGGCCUUUUAAGUUGGAUGUGAAAUCCCCGGGCUUAACUUGGGUGGUGCAUCUAAUACUGGUGGGCUAGAGUGCAGGAGAGGGAAGCGGAAUUCCUAGUGUAGGGGUGAAAUGCUUGAAUCCUAGGAGGACCACCAGUGGCGAAGGCGGCUCUCUGGAAUGUAUCCGACAGUGAGGCACGAAAGCGUGGGGAGCAAACCG
rnacentral:rRNA from 1 species